CACGUAGGGGGCAAGCGUUGUCCGGAUUUAUUGGGCGUAAAGAGCUCGUAGGCGGUUCGGUAAGUCGGGUGUGAAACCUCCAGGCUCAACCUGGAGUCGCCACUCGAUACUGCUGUGACUAGAGUCCGGUAGGGGAGCGUGGAAUUCCUGGUGUAGCGGUGAAAUGCGCAGAUAUCAGGAGGAACACCGGUGGCGAAGGCGGCUACCUGGCCUAAGACUGACGCUGAGGUGCGAAAGCGUGGGGAGCGAACGGG
rnacentral:rRNA from 1 species